AUGACAUUAUUAUUUAAACUGUGCAGAAUUCCCAUCUUAAGGCCACGGAAUACAGGGAAAGAUUCACAAGCAAGUCUUCGAUUCUGUUCAGUGUGCAGGCAAAGACGGCUCGGUGACACUUCUGAAGUGCGAUUCCCCUGCUCUCCAGAUGCCCGCCCGUACACCUCGCUCUUACCCAUUUCAGUACAACUUAUGAGGGCGCGUGAGGCGGACUUCGCCCCGCAGCUGCUCGUUCUGUUUCGAAACAGCCGAGUUCCCUCGACAGACUUUCCAUACGGUCGAAGAGCCCAACAUUCCUGCGGACAGCUGCAGGCCGCCUCCCCCCCAGGCCGCUCCCCCUGCGCGGGGCCGGGGGCGUGCAACGGGAUCCGGCCUUGGCCCCGCGCCUCACAGCACCCGGCCCGCCUCCGCCGCAGGAACAGCGUGAGUGGGGCCGAGAGGCUCCGAGCGGGAGCUCCGGGGAGACACGAGGUGGAAAGGAGUAAUGGUUUCAAAGGGAGAAAGCAAGAGAAACACGUUUCAAACUGGCCAGCAGUACCAGUACUUAUGACAUAAAAAUGAGCUACAAAAAUCUUGCAUGUAGUCCUUGUGCAUGAACUGCCUGAGCACACAGCUAAACCUGUGUUGUUUGCAAGGUCACCAGGCUUUUCUGAAGGUAAAUAAUUGCCAUUCCUACCAAGCAUCAGGACUUGGUGGUAUCACAUCAUAGCUGUAUUCAGAGCACUCCUGCAGGAUCUGGUUUCAGUAAUAAGGGAGAAAGCCACAGAUAUACAAGUGUUGCCUUUACCUACAUUAAGGAGACAUUCUUCAAAAACAGUAAUUCUGGAUUUCCAGCUGAAUCUUUUCCAUGGUUCCAAUUGACCAUGCAAUACUACUGACUCUCAAACUUUUAGGGGAAUUUAUGCAAUUGUUGUUUUUCUUACAUUCUUGUCCGCUAAAGGCAGAUAAAUAGAGACUACCAGGUAAGCAAAGGUUUCUCUCCUUCAUGGUUUUGGCAAAUACUUGAAGAUGUGCUUCAGGUAAUUAUCUCAUGAACCAGAAGCAAAGCAAAAUCGGACUGCAUAUAAUAUACCAAAUAGCAUGGCACUCAAAUGGUGCCAGUAGUGCAUUAAAAAAAAACAGCAAGUUUCAG
rnacentral:lncRNA from 1 species